rnacentral:rRNA from 1 species
CGUAGGUGGCGAGCGUUGUCCGGAAGUUACUGGGUGUAAAGGGCGUGUAGGCGGGGAUAUAAGUCAGGUGUGAAAUUCCGUGGCUCAACCACGGACGUGCAUCUGAAACUAUAUCUCUUGAGUGCUGGAGAGGAAAGCGGAAUUCCUAGUGUAGCGGUGAAAUGCGUAGAUAUUAGGAGGAACACCAGUGGCGAAGGCGGCUUUCUGGACAGUAACUGACGCUGAGGCGCGAAAGCGUGGGGAGCAAACAGGAUUAGAUACCCUGGUAGUCCACGCUGUAAACGAUGGAUACUAGGUGUAGGAGGUAUCGACCCCUUCUGUGCCGCAGUUAACACAAUAAGUAUCCCACCUGGGGAGUACGGCCGCAAGGUUG